GAAGAGAAGAUCAUUCAUUGUGAC
rnacentral:siRNA from 1 species